GGAAGGUUGGCGUAACGGUAGCGCAGCGGUUUGCUAAGCCGUCAACCGGUUUAUCGGUUUGUGGGUUCGAUUCCCGCACCUUCCG
rnacentral:tRNA from 1 species